rnacentral:rRNA from 1 species
GAGACAGCAGCCGCCGCGGUAAUACGGAGGGAGCUAGCGUUGUUCGGAAUUACUGGGCGUAAAGCGCGCGUAGGCGGUUACUCAAGUCAGAGGUGAAAGCCCGGGGCUCAACCCCGGAACUGCCUUUGAAACUAGGUGACUAGAAUCUUGGAGAGGUCAGUGGAAUUCCGAGUGUAGAGGUGAAAUUCGUAGAUAUUCGGAAGAACACCAGUGGCGAAGGCGACUGACUGGACAAGUAUUGACGCUGAGGUGCGAAAGCGUGGGGAGCAAACAGGAUUAGAUACCCGCGUAGUCCCUGUCUCUUAUAC